rnacentral:ncRNA from 1 species
AGGGUAGAGGCGCGGUAUUUAAGAGUACCUGUAACAGAUAUAAGCAAGAUGAUGUGCAGUGAAAGGAAAUAUCGCCGAAGCAUACAGUUAAAGCUUUAAUACUGUAUGACUGGUCUUAUUUAGAAUAUGAAUAAGAUUGUCACAAAGUAAAUUUGUGGAGGGCUAUCA